rnacentral:rRNA from 1 species
GACGGGGGGGGCAAGCGUUGUUCGGAAUUACGGGGCGUAAAGGGCUCGUAGGUGGCCAACUAAGUCAGACGUGAAAUCCCUCGGCUUAACCGGGGAACUGCGUCUGAUACUGGAUGGCUUGAGUUUGGGAGAGGGAUGCGGAAUUCCAGGUGUAGCGGUGAAAUGCGUAGAUAUCUGGAGGAACACCGGUGGCGAAGGCGGCAUCCUGGACCAACACUGACACUGAGGAGCGAAAGCCAGGGGAGCAAACGGG